UCACGGUGACGAAGGGCGUGAGUGCGGU
rnacentral:piRNA from 1 species